rnacentral:rRNA from 1 species
GACGAACGCUGGCGGCGUGCUUAACACAUGCAAGUCGAACGGAAAGGCCCUGCUUUUGCGGGGUGCUCGAGUGGCGAACGGGUGUGUAACACGUGAGUAACCUGCCCUUGACUUUGGGAUAACUUCAGGAAACUGGGGCUAAUACCGGAUAGGAGCUCCUGCUGCAUGGUGGGGGUUGGAAAGUUUCGGCGGUUGGGGAUGGACUCGCGGCUUAUCAGCUUGUUGGUGGGGUAGUGGCUUACCAAGGCUUUGACGGGUAGCCGGCCUGAGAGGGUGACCGGCGACAUUGGGACUGAGAUACGGCCCAGACUCCUACGGGAGGCAGCAGUGGGGAAUAUUGCACAAUGGGCGGAAGCCUGAUGCAGCAACGCCGCGUGCGGGAUGACGGCCUUCGGGUUGUAAACCGCUUUCGCCUUUGACGAAGCGUGAGUGACGGUAAUGGGUAAAGAAGCACCGGCUAACUACGUG